AGCGACGUACGGGAUUCGAACCCGUGACCAAAGCUUGGAAGGCUAAUGCUCGUGCCAGACUGAGCUAACGUCGC
rnacentral:tRNA from 1 species